CUCUCUCUUCAUCUUUAUCUCUCACUUUAUCUUCUUCAUUCCUCCAUAAUCCUCUCAAGAACAAGCUCCAAUCUUUCAAAGAUAAUUCUCCAUAAGUUGGUUCUUAACUUUUUGGGUAAUACCAUCUUCAAGUGUUCUAAGCUUUAGGAUCUUCAUCUUCAUCUCUUUAUCCACUAAGAAAUUCAUUUAAGGUGAGUUCAUACCCCUUCAUUUUCAAGUUUUUCCAAGAUUUAGGGGGGGGGGGGGGAUACAAGUAAAAAAAUCCUAUUUGGAUGAUCUAACGGCUAUGCAAACUAAAAAUACAAGUUAUGUCACUAAAACAUAUCUAAGCUUAAAAGUCAGCUUUUUAUAGAAAAGUUGUCGUCUGUUCACGAACUAUUUUACCCUGCUUAAAAUUCAUAUAUUUCAAAACUGUUCAAUAUGCUAAUAGUUCAGGUAUAUAGCUUUUUAAGGACAACUCGAACGAGUUCAUAAGAUUUUUAUACUUGUGUUUAGAUGUAAGUUGAUAUGUUAUAAUAUUUUAAAACAUCUAUACAUGAUAAGUUACAUGUAUUUAUAUAUUUGAUUAUAUUAAUGGACUUAACAAAACAUUCAUAAUAAACUAUAAUUGAUAUAGUUUAUGGGUCACAAAUACUACUUUAUCAUUUUGCACGAACCAUAUAAUUAUUUAAAGGUAUAAUUAUUAUUACACUAUGUAACCACUAUGGAAGGGUAAUUCUUUCAUUUGCAAAAAGGACUUUCAUUACACUAGAUGUAAACCUGUUAAUACAAUUUUGUGAGACAUAGCUUUUACCGUACCUAGUUGAGUACAUACUAAAGUUCCUAAAUUAUAAACAGAGUCUCGGUAAGAGAGCAUGACACUUGUAUAUAGAUCUAUACGGGAUUGACAAGCCCCCACCUAAUCUGUUAGCUACAGUUAGACCGGCAGAUCUAGUGUGACAAAUGUCUAACAUUCCGACGCCUGAAGAACGUCGUAGUAGGCCAACUAGUCGUUAGCACAAUUAUAAUAACUCACAUGGGGUAUUAAUAAUAUAUUUGGUUUACGGGGCUAACAUACAUUCAAUCGGUUUUAUUAAGCAAUAAAACUACAUAAUACUAUUUUCCAUUACAACACUACUUACAUUUUUGGUCUUUGGAUUUAAGACUUACAACUUAUUUUUAAAGAAAAUAUUGGAUUAUCUGAAAGUACACUCUAUCAUUUUUACAAGGAAAAGUUACCAAUUUUUCUCAUACAAAACUCUUAUGAACUCACCAACUUAAUUGUUGACACUUUUUCAAAACCACUUGUAUACUCAGAAAAUCAGUAGAUAGGUAACCAAAGCGUUUUGAUGAUGGGGCGCCGCAACAUCACGUCAUUUACUUUUGUCAUAUGUAUUUGGUAUCAAGUAAAUAAUGGUUUGGAUACAAUCUAAACUUCUUAAUUAUCAAGAUGAUGGUUGUAUGUUUUGAUCAUUAUUAUUCAUUAUGUUAUGAUACUAUACAUGAAAGUCAUCUACGCUCAGACGUUUCCGUCGUUCUGGUUUGGGGGUGUGACACUAAUCCGCGCACAAUCGAAGAUGGCGUCGUAGCCCAGAUGGGAAAGAUACCCAUGUCGUUCACAGUAAGCCAAUUUCUACUUUUUCCAUUCUAAUUUCUAUUUAAUCUCUCAGUCUCAUUUUUUUAGUUCCACUGUGGUAUAUCGGUGGCAAAAUAAAAUUCCAUCUUCCACCAUCGCCACCUUAUUUGAAAAGGGACAAAGACCUCAUAAACCGAACCCCAAAUACUUUGGGUAAAAAAUCACGUGGCGGUCGAAGACUUGUUUUUAUUUAUUUAUUGUUUCAAGUAUUGUAGGUGGUAAUUACUAAGUACAAUCAAUUUCUUUUCCCACGUACACCUGCAACAUUGAGGGACGCAUAUAAUAGGUGGUAAUUACUAUUUAAUUCUAUAUUUUAGAUUUAGUAUUUUUUUGUAUUAUAUAUUAAUUUCUUCAAUGUUGCUUACAAUUAGAUAACGUUUUUUUUUUCUAUUAUACCAGUUGUUUGUUUGUUUGUUUUUUUACCUCAUUUAUUACAUCAGAAGUUUUAUUGGAAGCACCUAGCAAAUUAUCACAUUUUAGACUUGUGGUUUUUAAGAAGAUGGUUAUUAAUUAAUUACAUCAAAAGCUUUAUUGGAAGCUCCUUGCAAAUUAUCGCUUGUAAAAUUUGAAAAUCCUGCCAUCGAUCGGAUAGAUCAUAUGUAGUUUCAAAUGAAAAAAAUAGACCAGACACUUUUGAAAAUCAUGCCUUAUUUACCAUAUCAUCAUUUAAAUAUAACAUAUAUAAAAAUUAUCAAUAUUUCUUUUGUUUUUUUUGGUAGAUGUCACACCCCCAAACCAGAACGGCGGAAACGUUCGGGGGCGGAGGACUUCAUUAGGUACAGUAGAAGACAAGAGUCGCGGUACGGUACUAGGUAGUCUUCUCAAGAGCUUCGGGAGUGUACCUGUCUACUGGAAUCCUGAGAAUACAAGUUAUAUGAAAAGAGUAGAUCAGCAUUUAAGCUGGAGUCGGAAUGGAAUGAUAUUUAACACCCUAGGCCUGCCGGCCAAACUGUAGCGAACAGUAGAGGUGCGGGAUUGUCAGUCCCAUAUAGAUCUAUACACAAAUUCACGCUCUCCUUACAAGAGAUUCUGGUUAAUAGGUCAGGACUAAAGCUCAUACUUAGAUAAGUAAACCGCGAAGGGUUUCACAAAUUUAUUGUUUCAACGAGAUUUAUGAUGUAUUAUUACCUCGUGAUUGCUAACCCUGGUACUCUGUAUCGUACAUUUGUUAAUGCAAA